CGGCCGGCGGGGGCUGCAGGAGGGGAGCCAGCAGGCAGGGCAGCACCAUAGAAACACAAACAAGGCUCAUUAACUUCUGCUGCUCAGGAGAUACCACCCAAACCACAAGUGGGCUGCUCAUCUCAGACACCCGACCUUCACGCUCCUCGCAGGGAUCCUGGUGCUUGUACGAGGACCAGGAGAGGGAUUUGCUGCCGGUGAAGGCCGUGGCAGGUGAGUGGCUUUUGCUCCUGCCAUGGACCUGCUGCCUGCUUGGUUUUUAGCAUUGCUCAGUGCAUCUUGUUCUGCAAUCACCGUGCUGUCUGUUCGGGCUGAA
rnacentral:lncRNA from 1 species